AACUUUCAACAACGGAUCUCUUGGUUCUCGCAUCGAUGAAGAACGCAGCGAAAUGCGAUAAGUAGUGUGAAUUGCAGAAUUCAGUGAAUCAUCGAAUUUUUGAACGCACAUUGCGCCUUCCGGUAUUCCGGAAGGCAUGCCUGUUCGAGCGUCA
rnacentral:rRNA from 1 species